rnacentral:lncRNA from 1 species
CCCCUCUUCUGCAGGUCUGCUGCAAUUCGCUGGGGGUCCACUACAGAUACUGUUCACCUGGGUAUCAUCGAUGGAGGCUGCAGAACAGCAAAGAUUGCUGCCUGCUCCUUUCUAUGGAAGCUUCGUCCCAGAGAGGCACUUACCUGAUGCCUGUUGGAACUCUCCUGCAUAAGGAAGAAACUAAGUUCCAGUACUUGGAUGUCAACUUGCUGACGACAAGGCACUUCCUUACAAUGAGCCUGGAAUUCUAAGCAGCAGUUUCACAAUCUGUAAUUGCACGUUUCUGCCCUUUACAAUAAAGAAAUACACAGUUUCCUUUCA